AUAAUUGUGACUGGAGUUAGCAUGGUCACGAAGGUGAUUUUCCCCCUAAGGUGAGGUGUAUCCAUAGCACUCCAGAUGUACCGAGCCCGGUGAUUUCUGCAAAUGCAAAAACAACUCCGCUGCAUAAUUUGUUAUUGGGGAUUGCAUCUGCACUUCCCCC
rnacentral:snRNA from 1 species